rnacentral:rRNA from 1 species
CCUACGGGGGGCUGCAGUGGGGAAUAUUGGACAAUGGGGGGAACCCUGAUCCAGCCAUGCCGCGUGUGUGAAGAAGGCCCUCGGGUUGUAAAGCACUUUCAGUGAGGAAGAACGCCUGGUGGUUAAUACCCAUCAGGAAAGACAUCACUCACAGAAGAAGCACCGGCUAACUCCGUGCCAGCAGCCGCGGUAAUACGGAGGGUGCGAGCGUUAAUCGGAAUUACUGGGCGUAAAGCGCGCGUAGGUGGCUUGAUAAGCCGGUUGUGAAAGCCCCGGGCUCAACCUGGGAACGGCAUCCGGAACUGUCAAGCUAGAGUGCAGGAGAGGAAGGUAGAAUUCCCGGUGUAGCGGUGAAAUGCGUAGAGAUCGCGAGGAAUACCAGUGGCGAAGGCGGCCUUCUGGACUGACACUGACACUGAGGUGCGAAAGCGUGGGUAGCAAACAGGAUUAGAUACCCUUGUAGUC